AAUAGAUACCCAGGUAGUCCAUGCCGUAAACGUUGGGCACUAGGUGUGGGGCUCAUUCCACGAGUUCCGUGCCGCAGCAAACGCAUUAAGUGCCCCGCCUGGGGAGUACGGCCGCAAGGCUAAAACUCAAAGGAAUUGACGGGGGCCCGCACAAGCGGCGGAGCAUGCGGAUUAAUUCGAUGCAACGCGAAGAGCCUUACCAAGGCUUGACAUGCACGGGAAGCCACCAGAGAUGGUGGUCUCUUUGGACACUCGUGCACAGGUGGUGCAUGGUUGUCGUCAGCUCGUGUCGUGAGAUGUUGGGUUAAGUCCCGCAACGAGCGCAACCCUGUCCCAUGUUGCCAGCGGGUUAUGCCGGGGACUCAUGGGAGACUGCCGGGGUCAACUCGGAGGAAGGUGGGGAUGACGUCAAACCAUCAUGCCCCUUAUGUCUUGGGCUUCACGCAUGCUACAAUGGCCGGUACAAGGGCUGCGAUGCCGUAAGGUGAGCGAAUCCCAAAAGCCGGUCUCAGUUCGGAUU
rnacentral:rRNA from 1 species